rnacentral:rRNA from 1 species
AGCUGCUACGGCAGUGAAGUCAUUGAUGCCAUGCUUCCAGGAAAAGCCUCUAAGCUUCAGAUAGUCAGGAAUCGUACCCCAAACCGACACAGGUGGUCGGGUAGAGAAUACCAAGGCGCUUGAGAGAACUCGGGUGAAGGAACUAGGCAAAAUGGUACCGUAACUUCGGGAGAAGGUACGCUCUUGAUGGUGAAGUCCCUCGCGGAUGGAGCUGACGAGAGUCGCAGAUACCAGGUGGCUGCAACUGUUUAUUAAAAACACAGCACUGUGCAAAAUCGCAAGAUGACGUAUACGGUGUGACGCCUGCCCGGUGCCGGAAGGUUAAUUGAUGGGGUUAGCGCAAGCGAAGCUCUUGAUCGAAGCCCCGGUAAACGGCGGCCGUAACUAUAACGGUCCUAAGGUAGCGAAAUUCCUUGUCGGGUAAGUUCCGACCUGCACGAAUGGCGUAAUGAUGGCCACGCUGUCUCCACCCGAGACUCAGUGAAAUUGAAAUCGCUGUGAAGAUGCAGUGUACCCGCGGCUAGACGGAAAGACCCCGUGAACCUUUACUACAGCUUGGCACUGAACAUUGAACCUACAUGUGUAGGAUAGGUGGGAGGCUAUGAAGACGUGACGCCAGUUGCGUUGGAGCCGUCCUUGAAAUACCACCCUUGUAUGUUUGAUGUUCUAACUUAGCCCCAUUAUCUGGGGUGAGGACAGUGCCUGGUGGGUAGUUUGACUGGGGCGGUCUCCUCCCAAAGAGUAACGGAGGAGCACGAAGGUGGGCUAAUCACGGUUGGACAUCGUGAGGUUAGUGCAAUGGCAUAAGCCCGCUUAACUGCGAGAAUGACGGUUCGAGCAGGUGCGAAAGCAGGUCAUAGUGAUCCGGUGGUUCUGUAUGGAAGGGCCAUCGCUCAACGGAUAAAAGGUACUCCGGGGAUAACAGGCUGAUACCGCCCAAGAGUUCAUAUCGACGGCGGUGUUUGGCACCUCGAUGUCGGCUCAUCACAUCCUGGGGCUGAAGUCGGUCCCAAGGGUAUGGCUGUUCGCCAUUUAAAGUGGUACGCGAGCUGGGUUUAGAACGUCGUGAGACAGUUCGGUCCCUAUCUGCCGUGGGCGUUGGAAGAUUGAAGGGGGCUGCUCCUAGUACGAGAGGACCGGAGUGGACGAACCUCUGGUGUUCGGGUUGUGUCGCCAGACGCAUUGCCCGGUAGCUAAGUUCGGAAUUGAUAAGCGCUGAAAGCAUCUAAGCGCGAAGCGAGCCCUGAGAUGAGUCUUCCCUGAUACUUUAAGUAUCCUAAAGGGUUGUUCGAGACUAGAACGUUGAUAGGCAGGGUGUGUAAGCGUUGUGAGGCGUUGAGCUAACCUGUACUAAUUGCCCGUGAGGCUUAACCAU